rnacentral:misc_RNA from 1 species
AAGUCCCCUAUACCCUCCAUG